rnacentral:rRNA from 1 species
CGGAUUGCAGGCUGCAACCCGCCUGCAUGAAGUUGGAAUCGCUAGUAAUCGCGGAUCAGCAUGCCGCGGUGAAUACGUUCCCGGGCCUUGUACACACCGCCCGUCACACCAUGAGAGUCGGGAACACCCGAAGUCCGUAGUCUGACCGCAAGGGGACGCGGCCGAAGGUGGGUUCGAUAAUUGGGGUGAAGUCGUAACAAGGUAUC